rfam:Otolemur garnettii contig151446, whole genome shotgun sequence.
GUACUCGCUCGGCAACACCAACACUAAAAUACUACACAGGGAAGAUUAACCCAGCCCAUACACAAGGAUGACAUUCAAAAUCAUGAAGUGUUCCAUAUUUUU